GCACAGUAACUAUAUUAUUAACAAAAUUUUGCCGGCUAUAAAGUUGCAUUGACGCUAAUACUUCAUAAACAUAAACGGUUGAUAAUACCCUGAGGUAGAGGGGUUUUAGUCGGUAGGUCCGGGGACUUCUUCCUCGGGAAUCCGACACUACCCAGUGGUACGGACGGCUGGGUGUCUUCUGAAGAUUUCCCCUCUUCCACGAAA
rfam:Agrilus planipennis Contig67796, whole genome shotgun sequence.